rnacentral:lncRNA from 1 species
CCGCCUUGUCGGACCCCUGAGAAGCCCCCACCGCCUCCGUGCUCCUACUGCGGCCGCCAGCGCCGGGCCCGCAGUGAGGAGGAGAACCUCAUUUUCCUCAACACAGAUCUAAGGGGACACCGCCUCACUUUGAGACAACUUGAGGCUGCGUCAGUGCUCUUUCUCUUCAAACUUCUUUAACAUGCCUUGGCUUAGUUGUUCUGCUUGAUUUUCCAAAAGAAGAACCUUCUCUGGAUAAGGCAGAGGAUAGUGAAGGGAGGAUUUAACCUUGUACUGUUGUUAUACAAUUCAAUAUUGAAGCGAGAGAUUCUCCAGAACUUGCCCAGAAGCCAAGACGUCUGGAAAGGAUCUCAGCCUCUGUCAGCCUGCAGCUUGGGAAGAGUGAUUCACAGAGCCUGACUGUCCACUGCUGCUAAACCAUACACUGGCCUUGGCUCACACAUCUGACUGAACUGUCUCCUAUGACUAACUGCCUCUCUUUCUUCAGCCUUGCAAGUUUCCUGGGAGUCCUGGGAGUGGACUUCACAUAUAAAAGGGGACUCUGGGAGACCUAGUUCCUGGCUUCUCUUCUGGAAGUCAGGGAAGAGUAUAGGAAGGAGUGGCCACAGUGCCCAACUGACAAUUGACAAUUUCACCAAAGAUCAUCAUUGACCCUGACAAGACUCAUUUCGGUAUAUAAUAUGGGAAAAGAAACCAGACUGCAACAGGCUGAGAAUGACCCAGGGAAGAGAAAACGGAGAAAUUAACUGCAGCUGAGUUUCUGGAGGACUGCAAUUUAGUAUGUUCAAAGAAUAGUCCAAGAAGCCGCUCCGGACCCUCAGCAUUAAGACGAAGGAGGGGGCAAACAGGUGAGCAGGGGUAGCAAGGAAGGAGGGGUGACAAGAGGAGAUGAGGGGAGACCAGAGAGUGAAGGAAAAGAAAGCAACAACACGGCUUAACAGGGGUCCUCAACUUUAAUGUACCCCUAGGAUUCUUGUUGAAAAUGCAUAUUUCUGGGUUUCACUCCCAGAUUCUGAUUUGGAAGGCCAAGAGUGGAGGGGAGGCCAUGAAUCUGCAUUUUCACCAAGCAUCCAGGUAAAGGCACACAGACGGUCAGGAGCCACACCUGGACAAACACUGGAAUGACAGUAGAACAGAGGCCUGUAAAGAUUAAUUUUUUCUCUCACUUGUUAGAGCCACUAGAAUCACCACUGUAUUUUAACUAAAACUGGGCAGGAAAGGUCAGGCAAAUGGAUAACCAGAGGUGAUGAAAAAUGCACUACAGAUGCCUCUCCAGCCCCUCCACCUGCAUAGGCUGUCCAGGAAGCCGAUGACGAUGACCACUCCUAGCUUGCAGAGGGCAGAAGGCCUCUGAAAAGGGAAGGCUGUGGCAACCCCUGCCCUUGGACCCAGCACAGCAUUUGAUCUCAUUCUCUUUGGUUAAGCACAGGGAUGAGAACCAUGAAUGACAGUGAAAUAACCACCCCCAUUCCAAAACAAACAAAACCGACCUUGGCAACCUUAAGACUACCCGGGGAAGGGGGCAUGGGUGAUCGUGUAGGCUUUGUGUUGAAAAUAGCCUGCUUUUGGAGCUGGGCGCAGUGGCUCACGCCUGUAAUCCCAGUACUUUGGGAGGACAAGGAAGGCAGAUCACCUGAGGUCAG